CAAUAGCGUAUAUUAAAGUUGUUGCAGUUAAAAAGCUCGUAGUUGGAUUUCUGGUGGGAGCGAUCGGUCUGGCGCUUAGCGCGAGUACUUGUAUCGUCUCCGGCCAUCCUUGGGGAGAGUCUGUCUGGCAUUAGGUUGUCGGGCAGAGGAUCCUCAUCGUUUACUGUGAAAAAAUUAGAGUGUUCAAAGCAGGCUUAUGCCGUUGAAUAUAUUAGCAUGGAAUAAUAAGAUAGGACUUUGGUACUAUUUUGUUGGUUUGCGCACCAAAGUAAUGAUUAAUAGGGACAGUUGGGGGUAUUCGUAUUCCGUUGUCAGAGGUGAAAUUCUUGGAUUUACGGAAGGCGAACUACUGCGAAAGCAUUUACCAAGGAUGUUUUCAUUAA
rnacentral:rRNA from 1 species